CUCCUACAGGUCAUGCCACUUCCCGGGGAGAAAUCACUAACUGUCACACUCCAAAGUCCACUAUGCUUGAGAAAACCCAUGUGCGUAGGUACAGAUGCAAAAUACAGCAUUUUCUCUCUGCAAGGGACCGUAUUUGGAGACUUGCAGCAUCAGCAAGAAUCGCUCCAGUUGUCUCAGUAUCACCCAGAUGUUCUGGGUAUGAAGAUUCUAAACCAAAAUAUGCCUUCUGUAUAUUUUGCUGCUCUGUGAAAGACUCAGCUCCAGGCUGACCCAGAUGCACGGGAAAGUGUAUACAAAGCAGGGCGAGGAGCGUGGAAAGCAGGACUGUAUGUCCACAUUGAUGGCAGCUCUGAAAAGCCAACCUCCAUGCGGAGACAGGAAGGAGGGGUCUGCACCCCACGGGGCCACUGCCUUGGAAGCUGUGAGGCUGUCAAGACUCUGGAUCUGCAACUUCUCCAUCUGGCUGGAAAGGAAGCAGGGGAAGAAGCUGCUGGGAUGGAAUGACGCCCUGAGGAUUUCACUCCCCUCUUCCUACCACACACCAGACCGGGCCACCAGGAUGCCUGGGAGACCCCACACAGCAGAAUGGAAGCUUCUGGUGACCAGUCUUCCACUUCCCUUGCAGAGGAGACAUUGAUCACCAUGAAGACAGGCCGUGGUCCUGGCACCUCCACUGGACUUCAGUGGGGUACUCCCUGCUCUAUCGCCUGUCUUCCUGCUAUGACUGGAUACAGGCUGGUAAGAGAAGG
rnacentral:lncRNA from 1 species